rnacentral:rRNA from 1 species
CAAGUCGAACGAAGUAGCAAUACUUAGUGGCAGACGGGUGAGUAACAUGUGGGUAUCUUCCCUUUGGUGAGGAAUAACACGAGGAAACUUGUGCUAAUACCUCAUAAGUCUUUACGGAGAAAGCUUUAUGCGCCAAUGGAUGAGCCCGCACUUGAUUAGUUUGUUGGUGAGGUAAUGGCUCACCAAGACUUUGAUCAAUAGCUGAUUUGAGAGGAUGAUCAGCCACAUUGGGACUGAUACACGGCCCAAACUCCUACGGGAGGCAGCAGUAGGGAAUCUUGCACAAUGGGGGAAACCCUGAUGCACCGAUGCCGCGUGAGUGAAGAAGGCCUUUGGGUUGUAUAGCUCUUUCGUCGGGGAAGAAAAUGACUGUACCCGAAUAAGAAGGUCCGGCUAACUUCGUGCCAGCAGCCGCGGUAAUACGAAGGGACCUAGCGUAGUUCGGAAUUACUGGGCUUAAAGAGUUCGUAGGUUGUUAAAAAAGUUGGUGGUGAAAUCCCAGAGCUUAACUCUGGAACUGCCAUCAAAACUUUUUAUCUAGAGUUUGAUAGAG